AUGGCGGCAGCAGCUGCACAGGGUGGGAGAAGCGGUGGUAGUGGAGGCAGUAGUGGGGCUGGCGUGGUUCCAGGUGUGGGGCAGGCAGUGGCCAUAGCGGCUUGUUGGAUAAGUGGAAGAUAGAUGAUAAGCCUGUAAAAAUUGACAAGUGCGAUGGAUUAGCUGUGAAAAACUCUUCGGAUGAUUCUGCCAGAAAGUUACUUCUGGAAAAAUACAAAUAUGUGGAGAAUUUUGGUCUAAUUGAUGGUCGCCUCACCAUCUGUACAAUAUCCUGUUUCUUUGCCAUAGUGGCUUUGAUUUGGGAUUACAUGCACCUCUUUCCAGAGUCCAAACCCGUUUUCGUUUUGUGCUUCAUAUCCUAUUUUGUGAUGAUCUGGAUUCUGACCAUUUAUACCUCAUAUAAGGAGAGGAGCAUCUUUGUCGUGACCCACAGGAAAGAUCCUACAGGAAUGGAUCCUGAUGAUAUUUGCCAACUGUCCUCCAGUCUUUAAAGGUUUGAUGACAAAUACACCUUGAAGCUGACCUUCACAAGUGGGAGAACAAAGCAGCAGCAGGAAGUCGAGUUUACCAAAGGCCUGACAAAGUUUUUUGACCACAGUGGGACACUGGUCCUGGAUGUAUAUGAUCCUGAAAUAUCCAAGCUCCAUGACAGUCUCGCCAUAGAAAGAAAAAUAAAAUAGCCAAUUCUAAAAGUAGCCCUCUUUCUGCUGGAUCUUGCUGAA